rnacentral:lncRNA from 1 species
UUACAAACUGCCUUAUCCAUAUUAAGGUAAAUUCUAUAACUGUUGAUGUGAGCAUUAUCAGCAAAAGGUUCAAGAAUCACAAUCAUGGCUAGAUUAGGCAUUUUCUUGAGAUUUUGGAGUCUUUCCAAGGAUCCUUGGGUGUUGAUGCUUCUAGCAUUCCAGCAUAUGGUUUUAAACAUUAAAAACCUUUACUUUUAGACCUAGUGAUGGGUCUGCUAGAACUAGCAGAUGUAGUAUGUGUUGCCUGUUUGGUCUGAUGCUGAGUCUGUUUCCCUC